GAGGCAAGCCGCUUCUUCGGCAUCAGUUGGCGAGCGUUCAGUUGAAGGCGGAUCGGACGACAUACUGCCACCGCUGUCAGGUUUCACAGGCGCAACGCAAGCAAGAGGCAAACCGCUCCUUCCGCAUCAGUUGGCGAGCGUUCAGUUGAAGGCGGAUCGGACGACAUACUGCCACCGCUGUCAGGUUUCAUAGGCGCAACGCAAGCAAGAGGCAAACCGCUCCUUCCACAUCAGUUGGCGAGCGUUCAGUUGAAGGCGGAUCGGACGACAUACUGCCACCGCUGUCAGGUUUCACAGGCGCAACGCAA
rnacentral:lncRNA from 1 species